GAUCACACGUGAGCCACACGCGUUUUCUACUAUUUCCUGGAUGACCUCACCAGGGUAGUUUUGAUAAGUUUACUAUUCUGUUCUAAGUCGGUUGUCUGCGUGGUGACUUCCAAACUUAGCCAUCAGUGAUGGAGAGCGAGGCACACUUGGCCAUCAGACUCAGCAGCAACACCUGACAUUCCUAACACAUUGACAGGGAGGAGAACGGCCACUUCCCCAGCUCAUCGACUGCCUCAAAAAAGCCCAAGUUUCCCUCUUGUCCAGACCGUGACGGCGGGAGGUACGGAAGAUAAAACUUAAAGAAUGAAGUGGCUUGACAAGAAAAAAAAUCACAGAAGAAAGAAGAAGAGAGAGGAAAAAAAAAAGGAAACAGAAGAGGAUGACAAGGAGCAGCAGCAGAGGACGGGCGCGACGAGGCGGUCAGGCAGUGCUGCGUCCCGGCUCACUGGGGGACUGUGGCCAUUAAGUCAUUAGGUCACGCCUUUGCCACAGCAGACGACGGCCCGUACUCUCAUUGCGGCCUUAAUGUGACCUCCCACCAAACUGCCUUUACGCCGCCACCACCUCCACCAGCACCACCACCACCACCAUUAGCGUUCUG